AGCACUUCGGUGCGAGUACAGCGGCGGACGGGUGAGUAACGCGUAGGAAUCUACCUAGUAGUGGGGGACAACAUGUGGAAACGCAUGCUAAUACCGCAUACGCCCUAAGGGGGAAAGCAGGGGAUCUUCGGACCUUGCGCUAUUGGAUGAGCCUGCGUCAGAUUAGCUAGUUGGUGGGGUAAUGGCCUACCAAGGCAACGAUCUGUAGCUGGUCUGAGAGGAUGAUCAGCCACACUGGGACUGAGACACGGCCCAGACUCCUACGGGAGGCAGCAGUGGGGAAUAUUGGACAAUGGGCGAAAGCCUGAUCCAGCCAUGCCGCGUGUGUGAAGAAGGCUCUAGGGUUGUAAAGCACUUUCAGUAGGGAGGAAAAGUUAGUAGUUAAUAACUGCUAACCCUGACGUUACCUACAGAAGAAGCACCGGCAAACUCCGUGCCAGCAGCCGCGGUAAUACGGAGGGUGCGAGCGUUAAUCGGAAUUACUGGGCGUAAAGCGCGCGUAGGCGGUUUGAUAAGCUGGAUGUGAAAGCCCUGGGCUCAACCUGGGAAUUGCAUACAGAACUGGCAAGCUAGAGUUUUGUAGAGGGUAGUG
rnacentral:rRNA from 1 species